rnacentral:rRNA from 1 species
AGGAUAAACGCUGGCGGCGUGCCUAACACAUGCAAGUCGAACGCGCUUUCGGGCUUCGGUGCGAGAGCGAGUGGCGGACGGGUGAGUAACACAUGGGUACCUACCUUGGAGUGAGGGAUACCGGCGAGAAAUCGCCGACAAUACCGCAUAGGCUUCUUCACAAGGGAAGCAAAGUGACGCGAGUCACGCUUUGAGAUGGGCCUGUGGCCGAUUAGCUAGUUGGGGGGGUAACGGCUUCCCAAGGCGACGAUCGGUAGCUGGUCUGAGAGGACGAUCAGCCACACUGGGAUUGAGAACGGCCCAGACUCCUACGGGGGGCAGCAGUGAGGAAUUUUCCGCAAUGGAGGCAACUCUGACGGAGCAACGCCGCGUGCAGGAGGAAAGUUUCGGAUCGUAAACUGCUUUCCUCGGGACGAGCAAGGACGGUACCCGAGGAACGAAGCCCCGGCUAACUACGCGCCAGCAGCCGC